rnacentral:rRNA from 2 species
AGAGUUUGAUCAUGGCUCAGAUUGAACGCUGGCGGCAGGCCUAACACAUGCAAGUCGAACGGUAACAGGAAGCAGCUUGCUGCUUUGCUGACGAGUGGCGGACGGGUGAGUAAUGUCUGGGAAACUGCCUGAUGGAGGGGGAUAACUACUGGAAACGGUAGCUAAUACCGCAUAACGUCGCAAGACCAAAGAGGGGGACCUUCGGGCCUCUUGCCAUCGGAUGUGCCCAGAUGGGAUUAGCUAGUAGGUGGGGUAAAGGCUCACCUAGGCGACGAUCCCUAGCUGGUCUGAGAGGAUGACCAGCCACACUGGAACUGAGACACGGUCCAGACUCCUACGGGAGGCAGCAGUGGGGAAUAUUGCACAAUGGGCGCAAGCCUGAUGCAGCCAUGCCGCGUGUAUGAAGAAGGCCUUCGGGUUGUAAAGUACUUUCAGCGGGGAGGAAGGGAGUAAAGUUAAUACCUUUGCUCAUUGACGUUACCCGCAGAAGAAGCACCGGCUAACUCCGUGCCAGCAGCCGCGGUAAUACGGAGGGUGCAAGCGUUAAUCGGAAUUACUGGGCGUAAAGCGCACGCAGGCGGUUUGUUAAGUCAGAUGUGAAAUCCCCGGGCUCAACCUGGGAACUGCAUCUGAUACUGGCAAGCUUGAGUCUCGUAGAGGGGGGUAGAAUUCCAGGUGUAGCGGUGAAAUGCGUAGAGAUCUGGAGGAAUACCGGUGGCGAAGGCGGCCCCCUGGACGAAGACUGACGCUCAGGUGCGAAAGCGUGGGGAGCAAACAGGAUUAGAUACCCUGGUAGUCCACGCCGUAAACGAUGUCGACUUGGAGGUUGUGCCCUUGAGGCGUGGCUUCCGGAGCUAACGCGUUAAGUCGACCGCCUGGGGAGUACGGCCGCAAGGUUAAAACUCAAAUGAAUUGACGGGGGCCCGCACAAGCGGUGGAGCAUGUGGUUUAAUUCGAUGCAACGCGAAGAACCUUACCUGGUCUUGACAUCCACGGAAGUUUUCAGAGAUGAGAAUGUGCCUUCGGGAACCGUGAGACAGGUGCUGCAUGGCUGUCGUCAGCUCGUGUUGUGAAAUGUUGGGUUAAGUCCCGCAACGAGCGCAACCCUUAUCCUUUGUUGCCAGCGGUCCGGCCGGGAACUCAAAGGAGACUGCCAGUGAUAAACUGGAGGAAGGUGGGGAUGACGUCAAGUCAUCAUGGCCCUUACGACCAGGGCUACACACGUGCUACAAUGGCGCAUACAAAGAGAAGCGAUCUCGCGAGAGCAAGCGGACCUCAUAAAGUGCGUCGUAGUCCGGAUUGGAGUCUGCAACUCGACUCCAUGAAGUCGGAAUCGCUAGUAAUCGUGGAUCAGAAUGCCACGGUGAAUACGUUCCCGGGCCUUGUACACACCGCCCGUCACACCAUGGGAGUGGGUUGCAAAAGAAGUAGGUAGCUUAACCUUCGGGAGGGCGCUUACCACUUUGUGAUUCAUGACUGGGGUGAAGUCGUAACAAGGUAACCGUAGGGGAACCUGCGGUUG